GAUGUACUGGAGGUCUUGAGGAGUCCUGUGGGAAACAGACAGCUUUGUUUGAUCCCCCAUUCCCCACAUGAUCAGAGCUUAGGACCCUGUGUGAGCCCCAAGCCUGUGAACCUGCCUUGACAUGAGUGUUGACAGAACACCCUGUGGGAAAUGCUGCUCCAGCUACCUCAGGUUGAAAGUCUAACUUAAGACAGAAGGAGGGACACGUCUUUCAUUGAAGAAGGGAGGUGAGGAAGAAGAAAGAGAUCCAUGCAGAUGCAGAAACUGAAAGGCCGAUCUUAAAAUCAUAUGGAAAUUCAAGGAGCCAUUAAUAGCCAAAACAAUCUUAAAAAAAUAAAAGUUGGAGGACUCACACUUCUUGAUUUUGAAACUUACUACAAAGAUACAGACAGAUUGGUAUUGACGUAAGUAUAGACAUACAGAUCAAUGGAAAAGAAUUGAGAGUCCAGAAAUAAACCCUCAUGACAUUAAUGACCAAUAGAUUUUUGAUAAGGUGACAAGACAGUUCAUGUGGGAAAGAAUCAUCUUUUCAUCAAACAAUUUUGGGACUACAUAUCCCGAUGCAAAAGAAUGAAGUGGGGGCCCUCCCUCAGGCCACAUACACAAACUAUUUCAAAAUAGAUCAAAGACCUAAAUGUAACAGCUAAAACUAUAAACUCUUUGGAAAAAGCAAAAGGGCAUUUAUUCCUUUGUGUCACGGUCUUGGAUUAAGCAAUGGAUUCUUAGCACAGGCAGCAGAAGAAAGCCAACAUUAUAUUUACGGGUGCCAACCAAAAGCCUGUGGGGUGACCAGGACCCUACCCUCUCUGGAAGAAAGUGUCGGCCAGGAGUAGAUGAGCCCUCACAAGGUCCGAAGCUCAACUUCGAGUCACCUGACCGUGGAUUAUAAUUAACGGUGACCUGCCGGAAACAAAAGCUAGUCCUCUCCGGAGUGAAACACCAGAGCCACAAAUGGUGUCAACAAUUUGUCACACACAGUGUGCAGCAUGCAAUGAGAAGUGCUAAGACAUGCAAGAGGACGGGAUUUGCCUAAAAAUAUGAAAGAAAACAACAACAAAGAGACAUAGUCAUGGGAGUUCCUGACAGAGCUGUCCCACACAGAUUUUAAAAUAAUUAUGUUAACAAUCUUGAAGAUGAAAUAUCAAGGUGGAAAAAAAUGGGCAACUAUUUAGAAGCUAUCAAAAAGAAUUCGAUUGAAGUUCUGGAACUGAAAACGCCUUCCCUCUUUAAAAAACCAGGAACUCUGUUUUGUUUGCCAGCCAAGCUGUGUGAUUUCAGAAAAUGUUGCUCAGUUCCUCAGCCUCUCAGUCAUUGCUUUUGGAAUCGUCUCCUGCCUCAGAAACCCCCAAUGCUAAACUCUCGUUUCUCUCUUUUAUUCUGAUCAUGCUGUAUGUUUUUAAAUAUGAUCUUAGGAGCUUUCCUAACAGGUUUUCAAAACAUUUUGUUUAGAUUGUAUAAUUGUUUUCAGAGAGAGAGACUUGGGCUGAAACAACCUAGUUAGCCGUUGCCAGAAGCAGAA